CACGUAGGAGACUAGCGUUAUUCGGAUUUACUGGGCGUAAAGCGCGUGUAGGCGGUUCGGUAAGUUGGAUGUGAAAGCUCCUGGCUUAACUGGGAGAGGUCGUUCAAAACUACCGGACUUGAGAGUGGUAGAGGGAGUUGGAAUUCCGGGUGUAGUGGUAAAAUGCGUAGAUAUCCGGAAGAACACCAGUGGCGAAGCGGCUCUGCGCUNUNGNCGG
rnacentral:rRNA from 1 species